CAGUAGCCGCGGUAAUACGUAGGGUGCGAGCGUUAAUCGGAAUUACUGGGCGUAAAGCGUGCGCAGGCGGUUCGUUAAGACAGAUGUGAAAUCCCCGGGCUUAACUUGGGAACUGCAUUUGUGACUGGCGAGCUAGAGUACGGCAGAGGGGGGUAGAAUUCCACGUGUAGCAGUGAAAUGCGUAGAGAUGUGGAGGAAUACCGAUGGCGAAGGCAGCCCCCUGGGCCAAUACUGACGCUCAUGCACGAAAGCGUGGGGAGCAAACAGGAUUAGAUACCCGCGUAGUCCCUGUCUCUUAUAC
rnacentral:rRNA from 1 species